GAUGAACGCUGGCGGCGUGCCUAAUACAUGCAAGUCGAGCGAACGGACGAGAAGCUUGCUUCUCUGAUGUUAGCGGCGGACGGGUGAGUAACACGUGGAUGACCUACCUAUAAGACUGGGAUAACUUCGGGAAACCGGAGCUAAUACCGGAUAAUAUUUUGAACCGCAUGGUUCAAAAGUGAAAGACGGUCUUGCUGUCACUUAUAGAUGGAUCCGCGCUGCAUUAGCUAGUUGGUAAGGUAACGGCUUACCAAGGCAACGAUGCAUAGCCGACCUGAGAGGGUGAUCGGCCACACUGGAACUGAGACACGGUCCAGACUCCUACGGGAGGCAGCAGUAGGGAAUCUUCCGCAAAGGGCGAAAGCCUGACGGAGCAACGCCGCGUGAGUGAUGAAGGUCUUCGGAUCGUAAAACUCUGUUAUUAGGGAAGAACAUAUGUGUAAGUAACUGUGCACAUCUUGACGGUACCUAAUCAGAAAGCCACGGCUAACUACGUG
rnacentral:rRNA from 1 species